AAAAGUGCUGCUAGUGGGGAAGU
rnacentral:miRNA from 1 species